rnacentral:rRNA from 1 species
CUCAAAGAUUAAGCCAUGCAUGUCUCAGUACAAACGUCUUGAACGUGAAACCGCGAACGGCUCAUUAGAACAGCUAUAAUUUACUUGAUCUUGAACAGUUACUCGGAUAACUGUGGUAAUUCUAGAGCUAAUACGUGCACUAAAGCUGCACCUUUUGGGGCAAUGCAUUUAUUGGAGUAAAACCAGGCGACUUCGGUCGUUAUUGGUGAGCCAGAAUAACUAAGCUGAUCGCAUGGGCUUGUCCCGGCGACGUGUCUUUCAAGUGUCUGCCUUAUCAACUUUCGAUGGUAGUGUAUCGGACUACCAUGGUGUUGACGGGUAACGGAGGAUAAGGGUUCGACUCCGGAGAAGGGGCCUGAGAAAUGGCCACUACGUCUAAGGAUGGCAGCAGGCGCGCAAAUUACCCACUCUCGGUUCGAGGAGGUAGUGACGAAAAAUAACGAGGCCGUUCCCCUAUGAGGCCGGCCAUCGGAAUGGGUACAACUUAAACCCUUUAACGAGUAUCAAUGAGAGGGCAAGUCUGGUGCCAGCAGCCGCGGUAAUUCCAGCUCUCAAAGUGCAUAGAACCAUUGCUGCGGUUAAAAAGCUCGUAGUUGGAUCUGUGCCGGUGACGUGGUCCACUCGAAAGAGGGGUACUGCGCUCACCGGCUUUGGGCCGGUCUUCGUGGUUAGCGGUCUUCACUGACUGUUGGCCAUGGCUGGCUGGUUUACUUUGAGCAAAUCAGAGUGCUCAGCACAGGCGUCUCGCCGGAAUGUUCGUGCAUGGAAUAAUAGAAAAGGAUUUCGGUCCUCUUUUAUUGGUUUUGUGGACUGAGAUAAUGAUUAACAGAGACGAGCGGGGGCAUUCGUAUUGCUGCGCUAGAGGUGAAAUUCUUGGACCGCAGCAGGACGAACUACAGCGAAAGCAUUUGCCAAGUGCGUCUUCAUUAAUCAAGAACGAAAGUCAGAGGUUCGAAGGCGAUCAGAUACCGCCCUAGUUCUGACCGUAAACGAUGCCAACUAGCGAUCCGUCGGUGGCUUUUGGGCCCUGAUGGGGAGCUUCCCGGAAACGAAAGUCUUCCGGUUCCGGGGGAAGUAUGGUUGCAAAGCUGAAACUUAAAGGAAUUGACGGAAGGGCACCACCAGGAGUGGAGCCUGCGGCUUAAUUUGACUCAACACGGGAAAACUCACCCGGCCCGGACACCGUGAGGAUUGACAGAUUGAUAGCUCUUUCAUGAUUCGGUGGUUGGUGGUGCAUGGCCGUUCUUAGUUCGUGGAUCGAUUUGUCUGGUUUAUUCCGAUAACGAGCGAGACUCCAGCCUACUAACUAGUGCGGGCAUUGCUUCUGUGCCCCGUACUUCUUAGAGGGAUUGGCUGCGUUCAGCAGCACGAAACGGAGCAAUAACAGGUCUGUGAUGCCCUUAGAUGUCCGGGGCUGCACGCGCGCUACACUGGCAAAGGCAGCGUGCUUGUCCUUCUCCGAAAGGAGGUGGUAAACCCUUGAAAAUUUGCCGUGAUUGGGAUCGGAAAUUGCAAUUAUUUUCCGUGAACGAGGAAUUCCAAGUAAGUGCGAGUCAUCAGCUCGCGUUGAUUACGUCCCUGCCCUUUGUACACACCGCCCGUCGCUGCCUAGAACUGAGCCAUUUCGAGAAUAUUCGGGAUCGCUGGUUUGGGGUCUUCGGACACCACUCUGGCUUGAGAACGAACGUAAUCGCAGUGGCUUGAACCGGGCAAAAGUCGUAACAAGGUAGC